AGUGAACGCUGGCGGUAGGCCUAACACAUGCAAGUCGAACGGCAGCACAGUAAGAGCUUGCUCUUACGGGUGGCGAGUGGCGGACGGGUGAGGAAUACAUCGGAAUCUACUUUUUCGUGGGGGAUAACGUAGGGAAACUUACGCUAAUACCGCAUACGACCUACGGGUGAAAGCAGAGGAUCUUCGGACCUUGCGCGAUUGAAUGAGCCGAUGUCGGAUUAGCUAGUUGGCGGGGUAAAGGCCCACCAAGGCGACGAUCCGUAGCUGGUCUGAGAGGAUGAUCAGCCACACUGGAACUGAGACACGGUCCAGACUCCUGCGGGAGGCAGCAGUGGGGAAUAUUGGACAAUGGGCGCAAGCCUGAUCCAGCCAUACCGCGUGGGUGAAGAAGGCCUUCGGGUUGUAAAGCCCUUUUGUUGGGAAAGAAAAGCAGCAGGUUAAUACCCCGCUGUUCUGACGGUACCCAAAGAAUAAGCACCGGCUAACUUCGUG
rnacentral:rRNA from 1 species